rnacentral:rRNA from 1 species
GAUGAACGCUGGCGGCGUGCCUAAUACAUGCAAGUCGAGCGAACGGACGAGAAGCUUGCUUCUCUGAUGUUAGCGGCGGACGGGUGAGUAACACGUGGAUAACCUACCUAUAAGACUGGGAUAACUUCGGGAAACCGGAGCUAAUACCGGAUAAUAUUUUGAACCGCAUGGUUCAAAAGUGAAAGACGGUCUUGCUGUCACUUAUAGAUGGAUCCGCGCUGCAUUAGCUAGUUGGUAAGGUAACGGCUUACCAAGGCAACGAUGCAUAGCCGACCUGAGAGGGUGAUCGGCCACACUGGAACUGAGACACGGUCCAGACUCCUACGGGAGGCAGCAGUAGGGAAUCUUCCGCAAUGGGCGAAAGCCUGACGGAGCAACGCCGCGUGAGUGAUGAAGGUCUUCAGAUCGUAAAACUCUGUUAUUAGGGAAGAACAUAUGUGUAAGUAACUGUGCACAUCUUGACGGUACCAAAUCAGAAAGCCACGGCUAACUACGUG